AAUACAUACCCUGGUAGUCCACGCCGUAAACGAUGAGUGCUAAGUGUUAGAGGGUUUCCGCCCUUUAGUGCUGCAGCUAACGCAUUAAGCACUCCGCCUGGGGAGUACGGCCGCAAGGCUGAAACUCAAAGGAAUUGACGGGGGCCCGCACAAGCGGUGGAGCAUGUGGUUUAAUUCGAAGCAACGCGAAGAACCUUACCAGGUCUUGACAUCCUCUGACAACCCUAGAGAUAGGGCUUUCCCCUUCGGGGGACAGAGUGACAGGUGGUGCAUGGUUGUCGUCAGCUCGUGUCGUGAGAUGUUGGGUUAAGUCCCGCAACGAGCGCAACCCUUGAUCUUAGUUGCCAGCAUUCAGUUGGGCACUCUAAGGUGACUGCCGGUGACAAACCGGAGGAAGUGGGGAUGACGUCAAAUCAUCAUGCCCCUUAUGACCUGGGCUACACACGUGCUACAAUGGAUGGUACAAAGGGCUGCAAACCUGCGAAGGUAAGCGAAUCCCAUAAAGCCAUUCUCAGUUCGGAUUGC
rnacentral:rRNA from 1 species